UUCCAGUACUCCAAUCAAAAAUAAUCAACGAGAGGUUUGCGAGAGGAGUCGGGAUGCCUCGUACCAGAUCAAUGAGGGAUGAUGACCCCAGACGGCUCGGUCUUGUGCCACCCAUCGCUCCACCACCUAUUUCGGAGCUAGUGCAGAUCCAAGUCAGCCGAGGUCUUGUAUCAGAACUCAACACAGCUACAGGCCUCCAGUGACGAUCUUGUCUACAUUUACAUGGAGUAUUCUAUACCUGCUGCGUGUUACUAAUGUAAUGUACAUAAAAAUGUAGAUAUUGCACUUUGAUGUCUUUACUACUGUGCUAACAUGUUGUUCUUUUUACUUGAAGUAGCACAUAAAUUCUGCACAGUCUUUUACGUUAGAUCUAUUCUUUAUUAUCCUAGUGUGUAAAAUCAUGUUUCAAGAUUAAAAUGUGUUCCAAAUUUGUCUGUUCAAACUCUGAAUAAGGUUAAUUCAAAUAAAAGUGCAUCUGUACUAA